rnacentral:rRNA from 1 species
UACGGGGGGAGCAAGCGUUGUUCGGAUUUACUGGGCGUAAAGGGCGCGUAGGCGGCGUGACAAGUCACUUGUGAAAUCUCCGGGCUUAACUCGGAACGGUCGAAGUGAUACUGUCGUGCUAGAGUACAGAAGGGGCAACUGGAAUUCUCGGUGGUAGCGGUGAAAUGCGUAGAUAUUGCUCGGGAAGGCCAGAGCCGAAGGGGCCCCAUUGGUACGUAACUGACGGCUGAGGCACGAAA